rnacentral:rRNA from 1 species
GACGAACGCUGGCGGCGUGCUUAACACAUGCAAGUCGAACGGGAUUUAGUAAACAGAAGCCUCGGUGGAAGAUUACUAAUGAGAGUGGCGAACGGGUGAGUAACGCGUGAGCAACCUGCCUAUGACAGUGGGAUAGCCUCGGGAAACCGGGAUUAAUACCGCAUAAAAUCGUAGAAACACAUGUUUCAACGGUCAAAGAUUUAUCGGUCAUAGAUGGGCUCGCGUCUGAUUAGCUAGUUGGUGAGAUAACAGCCCACCAAGGCGACGAUCAGUAGCCGGUCUGAGAGGAUGAACGGCCACAUUGGAACUGAGACACGGUCCAAACUCCUACGGGAGGCAGCAGUGGGGAAUAUUGCACAAUGGGGGAAACCCUGAUGCAGCGACGCCGCGUGAACGAAGAAGGUAUUCGUAUCGUAAAGUUCUGUCCUAUGGGAAGAUAAUGACAGUACCAUAGAAGAAAGCUCCGGCUAAAUACGUGCCAGCAGCCGCGGUAAUACGUAUGGAGCAAGCGUUGUCCGGAAUUAUUGGGCGUAAAGGGUACGCAGGCGGUUUAAUAAGUCGAAUGUUAAAGAUCGGGGCUCAACCCCGUAAAGCAUUGGAAACUGAUAAACUUGAGUAGUGGAGAGGAAAGUGGAAUUCCUAGUGUAGUGGUGAAAUACGUAGAUAUUAGGAGGAAUACCAGUAGCGAAGGCGACUUUCUGGACACAAACUGACGCUGAGGUACGAAAGCGUGGGGAGCAAACAGG